GACGAACCACACGAACGUUAUUCGGAAUUACUGGGCUUAAAGGGUGCGUAGGCUGUGCAGAAAGUUAGGUGUGAAAUCCCCCGGCUCAACCGGGGAAUUGCGCUUAAAACUACUGUGCUAGAGGAAGACAGAGGUGAGCGGAACUUCGGGUGGAGCGGUGAAAUGCGUUGAUAUCCGAAGGAACACCGGUGGCGAAAGCGGCUCACUGGGUCUUUUCUGACGCUGAGGAGCGAAAGUGUGGGGAGCGAACAGG
rnacentral:rRNA from 1 species